rnacentral:rRNA from 1 species
GACGAACGCUGGCGGCGUGCUUAACACAUGCAAGUCGAACGAAGAGCGACGGAAGCUUGCUUCUAUCAAUCUUAGUGGCGAACGGGUGAGUCACGCGUAAUCAACCUGCCCUUCAGAGGGGGACAACAGUUGGAAACGACUGCUAAUACCGCAUACGAUCUAACCUCGGCAUCGAGGAUAGAUGAAAGGUGGCCUCUACAUGUAAGCUAUCACUGAAGGAGGGGAUUGCGUCUGAUUAGCUAGUUGGAGGGGUAACGGCCCACCAAGGCGAUGAUCAGUAGCCGGUCUGAGAGGAUGAACGGCCACAUUGGGACUGAGACACGGCCCAGACUCCUACGGGAGGCAGCAGUGGGGAAUCUUCCGCAAUGGACGAAAGUCUGACGGAGCAACGCCGCGUGAGUGAUGACGGCCUUCGGGUUGUAAAGCUCUGUUAAUCGGGACGAAAGGCCUUCUUGCGAAUAGUGAGAAGGAUUGACGGUACCGGAAUAGAAAGCCACGGCUAACUACGUG